rnacentral:rRNA from 1 species
UACGUAGGGUGCAAGCGUUGUCCGGAAUUAUUGGGCGUAAAGAGCUCGUAGGCGGCUUGUCACGUCGACUGUGAAAACCCGAGGCUCAACCUCGGGCCUGCAGUCGAUACGGGCAGGCUAGAGUUCGGUAGGGGAGACUGGAAUUCCUGGUGUAGCGGUGAAAUGCGCAGAUAUCAGGAGGAACACCGAUGGCGAAGGCAGAUCUCUGGGCCGUAACUGACGCUGAGGAGCGAAAGCAUGGGGAGCGAACAGG